UACGUAGGGGGCAAGCGUUGUCCGGAUUUAUUGGGCGUAAAGAGCUUGUAGGCGGCUCGUCGCGUCGGGUGUGAAAACUUGCGGCUUAACCGCAAGCCUGCACCCGAUACGGGCGGGCUAGAGUUCGGCAGGGGAGACUGGAAUUCCUGGUGUAGCGGUGGAAUGCGCAGAUAUCAGGAGGAACACCGGUGGCGAAGGCGGGUCUCUGGGCCGAUACUGACGCUGAGAAGCGAAAGCGUGGGGAGCGAACAGG
rnacentral:rRNA from 1 species